rnacentral:rRNA from 1 species
UACGAAGGGGGCUAGCGUUGUUCGGAAUUACUGGGCGUAAAGCGCACGUAGGCGGAUAUUUAAGUCAGGGGUGAAAUCCCAGAGCUCAACUCUGGAACUGCCUUUGAUACUGGGUAUCUUGAGUAUGGAAGAGGUAAAUGGAAUUGCGAGUGUAGAGGUGAAAUCGUAGAUAUUCGCAGGAACACCAGUGGCGAAGGCGGCUUACUGGUCCAUUACUGACGCUGAGGUGCGAAAGCGUGGGGAGCAAACAGGAUAGAAACCCCAUGUACGGUAC